AACCCAGACAGGAAGGUGGUGAGCAAGGACAAAGAUGUCAACUUCGGGCAAAGAAAAUGAUACCCAAGUCGAUGAACCGAGGCUUAAUGAUAUUAUAGAAAAGUCGUUCGAUUGAAUUGAGGAGGGUUUAUUUCGAUACACGAAAACAUC